rnacentral:rRNA from 1 species
UACGGAGGGGGCUAGCGUUAUUCGGAAUUAUUGGGCGUAAAGGGCGUGUAGGCGGCUUCGUAAGUCUUGUGUGAAAGCCCUCGGCUCAACCGAGGAAUUGCACGAGAAACUGCGUGGCUCGAGUCCGGGAGAGGAUAGUGGAAUUCCCAGUGUAGCGGUGAAAUGCGUAGAUAUCAAGAGGAACACCUGAGGUGAAGACGGGUUGCUGGGCUGACACUGACGCUGAUGCGCGAAAGCCAGGGGAGCAAACGGG